rnacentral:rRNA from 1 species
UACAGAGGUCCCAAGCGUUGUUCGGAAUUACUGGGCGUAAAGGGCUCGUAGGCGGCCAACUAAGUCAGACGUGAAAUCCCUCAGCUUAACUGGGGAACUGCGUCUGAUACUGGAUGGCUUGGAUUUGGGAGAGGGAUGCGGAAUUCCAGGUGUAGCGGUGAAAUGCGUAGAUAUCUGGAGGAACACCGGUGGCGAAGGCGGCAGCCUGGACCGGCAUUGACGCUGAGGAGCGAAAGCCAGGGGAGCAAACGGG